GCGGAGGGAUCAUUACUGAGUGAGGGCCUUCGGGCUCGACCUCCAACCCUUUGUGAACACAACUUGUUGCUUCGGGGGCGACCCUGCCGUUUCGACGGCGAGCGCCCCCGGAGACCAUCAAACACUGCAUCUUUGCGUCGGAGUUUAAGUAAAUUAAACAAAACUUUCAACAACGGAUCUCUUGGUUCUGGCAUCGAUGAAGAACGCAGCGAAAUGCGAUAAGUAAUGUGAAUUGCAGAAUUCAGUGAAUCAUCGAAUCUUUGAACGCACAUUGCGCCCUUUGGUAUUCCGAAGGGCAUGCCUGUUCGAGCGUCAUUUCACCACUCAAGCCUGGCUUGGUAUUGGGCGCCGCGGUCAAUCCGCGCGCCUCAAAGUCUCCGGCUGAGCUGUCCGUCUCUGAGCGUUGUGAUUUCAUUAAUCGCUUCGGAGUGCGGGCGGCCGCGGCCGUUAAAUCUUUCACAAGGUUGACCUCGGAUCAGGUAGGGAUACCCGCUG
rnacentral:rRNA from 1 species